AUAUUGACAAAAGUAAAUAAGAUGAAAACAAAGUCAUGAAAGAUUCUGAAAGCAAAACGACAACUGUUGGUGGGUGGAAGAGGAGGCCCUGAACUGGAAGAUACAGAGUGGGAAGGAUUUCUGUCUACCACAAGGUCAUCAUUGUGACCAUUGUUUUUGCAGAUUGGGGACACACAACGCUUGGAUACUAACUACUUGGGAACUCUGAUAUGAGGAAGGGAUGGAUGCUGAAUUUGUUCUUGGUGGACCUUCCAUUAUUCUAAACCUGAGUUUGGUAAGUUCCAUUCACAUCAGUUAGUAUCAGGCAAGCCAUUGCUUCUGGGAUGUAUAAUGCAUCGUUAUCGUACGCAAGUCCUCUCAAAUUGCAUUUAAUUCAACCAGCACUGUUGGCACCACAUCCUGCCUGUAUAUGGGCCUCACACUGUAUUCGCUCUGGCUCCUAAUUGUUUUCUUCAACACCUCAUCCUGGAAAUUGUAUAAUCAGUGACAUCCUCUUUUCUUUACCCAACGAUAAAAACGAAUGCAUGCACUUGCACCUUAAUAAGAGCAAAUGUGCAGCCUUCAUGAUUAAUUCGUCUAGAUAAGGCUCUAUAUGAAGUGAACAUGCGGGAGCUUGCUUAAUGGCUCCAGGGAUGGUUGAUUAUAAAUAUAUGAUUUUCGAAUCUGCAAACCAUCAUUUUUUUUUUUUUUUUUUUGCUUUUGCACAUGCUUCUCUUUCUUGAUGCUACCUCAUGGUUAUAGUGAAUGAGUUUGAUGAGGUAAUAAAUGAAUUUGUGCUGUCAAAUGAUUUAA